rnacentral:rRNA from 1 species
UACGGGGGGGGCAAGCGUUGUUCGGAAUUACUGGGCGUAAAGGGCUCGUAGGCGGCCAACUAAGUCGGAUGUGAAAUCCCCAGGCUUAACCUGGGAACUGCAUCCGAUACUGGAUGGCUUGAAUCCGGGAGAGGGAUGCAGAAUUCCAGGUGUAGCGGUGAAAUGCGUAGAUAUCUGGAGGAAUACCGGUGGCGAAGGCGGCAUCCUGGACCGGCAUUGACGCUGAUGAGCGAAAGCUAGGCGAGCAAACGGG